CUGGAGGGAUAAGCAUUAGGAAACGAUGUCUAAUACCGCAUAUGGUCUUCGGAUUAAAGCUUCGGCGGUUUGGGAAGAGCCCGCGUAAGAUUAGCUAGUUGGUGAGGUAAAGGCUCACCAAGGCGACGAUCUUUAACUGGUUUGAGAGGAUGAUCAGUCACACUGGAACUGAGACACGGUCCAGACUCCUACGGGAGGCAGCAGUUAGGAAUUUUCCACAAUGGGCGAAAGCCUGAUGGAGCAAUGCCGCGUGCAGGAUGAAGGCCUUAGGGUUGUAAACUGCUUUUAUACGUGAAGAAUAUGACGGUAACGUAUGAAUAAGGAUCGGCUAACUCCGUG
rnacentral:rRNA from 1 species